rnacentral:rRNA from 1 species
CCUACGGGAGGCAGCAGUGGGGAAUAUUGCACAAUGGGGGGAACCCUGAUGCAGCGACGCCGCGUGGGUGAAGGAGUAUUUCGGUAUGUAAAGCCCUAUCAGCAGGGAAGAACAAUGACGGUACCUGACUAAGAAGCACCGGCUAAAUACGUGCCAGCAGCCGCGGUAAUACGGAUGGUGCAAGCGUUAAUCGGAAUUACUGGGUGUAAAGGGAGCGCAGGUGGCGCGUUAAGCCUGGUGUGAAAGCCCGCGGCGCAACGGCGGGACUGCAUUGGGAACUGGCGCGCUGGAGUGCGUGAGAGGUAGGCGGAAUUCCUAGUGUAGGGGUGAAAUGCGUAGAUAUUAGGAGGAACACCAGUGGCGAAGGCGACCUACUGGAAGGUGACUGACGCUGAGGCUCGAAAGCGUGGGGAGCAAACAGGAUUAGAUACCCUGGUAGUC